rnacentral:rRNA from 1 species
CCUACGGGAGGCAGCAGUGAGGAAUAUUGGUCAAUGGGCGAGAGCCUGAACCAGCCAAGCCGCGUGAGGGAUGACUGCCCUAUGGGUUGUAAACCUCUUUUGUAUGGGGGGAAUACGCUUUACGAGUAGCGUGCUGCGUGUACCCUACGAACAAGCAUCGGCUAACUCCGUGCCAGCAGCCGCGGUAAUACGGAGGAUGCGAGCGUUAUCCGGAUUUAUUGGGUUUAAAGGGUGCGUAGGCGGCAGUAUAAGUCAGUGGUAAAAUAGUGGGGCUUAACCUCGGUACGCCAUUGAUACUGGAAGGCUAGAGAACGGAAGAGGUAGGCGGAAUAAGUGGAGUAGCGGUGAAAUGCAUAGAUAUCACUUAGAACACCGAUAGCGAAGGCAGCUUACCAGACUGAGUCUGACGCUGAGGCACGAAAGCGUGGGUAGCGAACAGGAUUAGAUACCCCUGUAGUC